rnacentral:rRNA from 1 species
UACUGCCUAUCAGAGGGGAAUAACAGUGAGAAAUCACUGCUAAUACCGCAUAUGCCAUAGGAAUCGCAUGAUUCUAGUGGGAAAGGAGCAAUCCGCUGAUAGAUGAGCUUGCGUCUGAUUAGCUAGUUGGUGGGGCAAAGGCCUACCAAGGCGACGAUCAGUAGCCGGACUGAGAGGUUGAACGGCCACGUUGGGACUGAGAUACGGCCCAGACUCCUACGGAAGGCAGCAG